rnacentral:rRNA from 1 species
UAAGUACUUAAAAUUUAAAAAAUUUGGCGGUAAUUUAAUCUUUUCAGAGGAACCUGUUUUUGAAUCGAUAAUCCACGAAGAAUCUUACUUGUCUUUGUUUAUAUUUCAGUUUGUAUACCAUCAUUACAAAUAAUUUUUAGAGAAAUAAAUUAUUAAGUAUAAAUAUAUUAUAAAAAUUAGAUCAUGGUGCAGUCUAUAGAUAAGGUAAAAUGGGUUACAAUAAAUUAUUUUAUACGGAUUAGUAAAAAGAAUUUAUGCUAUGAAGGAGGAUUUGAUUGUAUUUGGGGUUUAAUAAGCUUUAAAGAUAUAAGCUCUAAAUUAUGUACAUAUCGCCCGUCGCUUUCGUCUAUAAGCGAAAUAAGUCGUAACAUAGUAGGUGUACUGGAAAGUGUAUCUAGAAUUA